AUGAACGCUGGCGGCGUGCCUAAUACAUGCCAGUCGAGCGAACAGACGAGGAGCUUGCUCCUCUGACGUUAGCGGCGGACGGGUGAGUAACACGUGGAUAACCUGCCUAUAAGACUGGGAUAACUUCGGGAAACCGGAGCUAAUACCGGAUAAUAUAUUGAACCGCAUGGUUCAAUAGUGAAAGACGGUUUUGCUGUCACUUAUAGAUGGAUCCGCGCCGCAUUAGCUAGUUGGUAAGGUAACGGCUUACCAAGGCAACGAUGCGUAGCCGACCUGAGAGGGUGAUCGGCCACACUGGAACUGAGACACGGUCCAGACUCCUACGGGAGGCAGCAGUAGGGAAUCUUCCGCAAUGGGCGAAAGCCUGACGGAGCAACGCCGCGUGAGUGAUGAAGGUCUUCGGAUCGUAAAACUCUGUUAUUAGGGAAGAACAAAUGUGUAAGUAACUAUGCACGUCUUGACGGUACCUAAUCAGAAAGCCACGGCUAACUACGUG
rnacentral:rRNA from 1 species